rfam:Haemonchus placei strain MHpl1 genome assembly, scaffold: HPLM_contig0002662
CCAACGGCCCUCUUUAGGGCCACAAUUCCGAUAUUAAUCCUUCAAG